UUGGAGGCAAGAUAUAUACAAAUAAGUGGUACUUAUGGAGUCCAAAACAAAAUGCAUCAGAAUAUUUUUUUAAGUCUGU
rnacentral:lncRNA from 1 species